rnacentral:rRNA from 1 species
CGAAGGAUCCAAGCGUUGUCCGGAUUUACUGGGUUUAAAGGGUGCGUAGGCGGACUUUUAAGUCAGUGGUGAAAGCUUGCAGCUUAACUGUAAAAUUGCCAUUGAAACUGAAAGUCUCGAGUGUGGUUGAGGUAACUGGAAUAUAUCAUGUAGCGGUGAAAUGCUUAGAUAUGAUAUAGAACACCAAUUGCGAAGGCAGGUUACUGAGCCACAACUGACGCUGAGGCACGAAAGCGUGGGGAUCAAACAGGAUUAGAUACCCUGGUAGUCCACGCCGUAAACGUUGAAUACUCGAUCUUAGCGAUACACAGUUAGGAUCCAAGCGAAAGCGUUAAGUAUUCCACCUGGGAAGUACGUUCGCAAGAAUG